GAGGGUAUAGCUUAGUGGUAGAUCGUGUGCUUCAGUAUGCACAAGGUCCUGGGUUCAAUCCCCAGUACUUCCC
rnacentral:tRNA from 1 species